rnacentral:rRNA from 1 species
GUGGGGAAUAUUGGACAAUGGGCGAAAGCCUGAUCCAGCCAUGCCGCGUGUGUGAAGAAGGUCUUCGGAUUGUAAAGCACUUUAAGUUGGGAGGAAGGGCAGUAAGUUAAUACCUUGCUGUUUUGACGUUACCGACAGAAUAAGCACCGGCUAACUUCGUGCCAGCAGCCGCGGUAAUACGAAGGGUGCAAGAGUUAAUCGGAAUUACUGGGCGUAAAGCGCGCGUAGGUGGUUUUGUAAGUUGGAGGUGAAAUCCCCGGGCUCAACCUGGGAACUGCCUCCAAAACUGCAUGACUAGAGUACGGUAGAGGGUAGUGGAAUUUCCUGUGUAGCGGUGAAAUGCGUAGAUAUAGGAAGGAACACCAGUGGCGAAGGCGACUACCUGGACUGAUACUGACACUGAGGUGCGAAAGCGUGGGGAGCAAACAGGAUUAGAUACCCGUGUAGUCC